rnacentral:rRNA from 1 species
UGAGGAACAUGUCUUUCGGCGGGGAAUAGCCGGCCUAACGGCCGGGUAAUACCGCGUACGACGAUUGGGGCGCAUGCCUUGAUCGUGAAAGCAGCAAUGCACCGAUAGAGUGCCUCGCGGCCUAUCAGCUAGUUGGUGAGGUAAUGGCUCACCAAGGCGACGACGGGUAGCUGGUCUGAGAGGAUGAUCAGCCACAGUUGGGACUGAGACACGGCA